GGAUGGAUGACUGCACUCAAUUUCCAUAUUGUGCGUUCCAAUCUUGGCAAUUUUCGUGCUGUGGAAAGCAAAAGGAAAUACAUUUCUGGAGAAAUUUCGUUCGGCUAUUGUACCGAAAGAGUUUAUAGCAGAAGAGAGAUUUUUAUCAACGAAGAACUUGAACUGAAAGAGUCCCUCAAUUUAUCCUGUCAGAACGACGAACAAGCUUGAUUAGUGUUUAUUGGCUUAUUCAUACUCUCAACAGAAUUUAAUAUUAUUUUUCUUUUGGAUUUUGAGCGUGAAGUGAUAUUGUGUAUCAAGUAUGUCACGUCGCGCCCACUUGCCACGCACUUGACCGACCCAUAGUUCUACGUUAUGGUAGAUAUGAAUUCUGGAACAAAUGUUAAAAAGUAAGCAUAUGCAAUGGCGUUCAUGCCAAGUUCUGGACUGAGAAGUAGGUUAUGAUACUCAUAUAAAUUUAGAUUCAUACAAUUGGAACAAGUGUGAGACAAGUGGGGCACGGCAUUAUUGAGACACCUGCAAAUAUGAAAUUAUUAAUGAAAUAACACUUUAGGAGUUCCAGGAUUGAUUACCAAGACCAAGUUAUUUUGAAUUAACAUUUCUUAGACUCACAUUGCUUUGUAAUUACAUGCUCCCUAUAAUGGCUCAUUUACACCUAAUGGCUUACUCUGUUUUCCCUCGCCGAGCAUUUAAUGUUACCUAUCAAAUAAUUUUCAGCAUUUAUAUACGUUUCAAUUAUAACUAGAAUAUUCUGUAUAUUUAUUUGUGUUAAAAUUUAAGUGUAUAUUUCAGUAUCUAUAUCUGUAUUUGAAACAGUCCAAUUCUAUCAAUAUAUUACAAUAUACUGGUUGACAAUUAACCCCA